AUAAAUAUAGUUUAACGAAAACGUCAGAUUGUGAUUCUGAAAACAGGAGAUAAAAACUCCUUCUUUAUC
rnacentral:tRNA from 1 species